GACGAACGCUGGCGGCGUGCUUAACACAUGCAAGUCGAACGGUGAAGGGACCAGCUUGCUGGUUCUGGAUGUGUGGCGAGCGGGUGAGUCACACGAGUGUCCCCUGCCCCCUUCUUCUGGAUCACCGCAUGAAAGUGUGGCUAAUCCGGGAUAUUCUGGGUCUGCCUGAUGGCGGGCGGGGGGAUUAUGUUGCUGCGGAGGGGGAUGCGCUCGCGGCUUAUGUGCUUGGUGGUGGGGUGGUGGCCUACCAAGGCGGUGAGGGGUAGUGGGCCUGAGAGGGGGACCGGGCAAAUUGGGACUGAGCUACGGCCGGGAGUACUACGGGAGGCAGCAGUGGGGAAGAUUGCACAAUGGGGGGACGCCGGAUGCAGGAACGCCGCGUGCGGGAUGACGGCCUUUGGGUUGUAAAACGCUUUCGCCUGUGACGAAGCGUGAGUGACGGUAAUGGGUAAAGAAGCACCGGCUAACUACGUG
rnacentral:rRNA from 1 species